UUCCAUUUUGUAUGUGUGACCUGAUUUUUCCUUCCUAAAUGGAGCACUUUGCAUUUGUCUUUGUUAACUUCAUCUGUUUACCUCAGACAAUUUCUUCAGUUUGCAUCCAGAUCAUUUUGAAAUAUG